GAUGAACGCUGGCGGCGUGCCUAAUACAUGCAAGUCGAGCGAACAGACGAGGAGCUUGCUCCUCUGACGUUAGCGGCGGACGGGUGAGUAACACGUGGAUAACCUACCUAUAAGACUGGGAUAACUUCGGGAAACCGGAGCUAAUACCGGAUAAUAUAUUGAACCGCAUGGUUCAAUAGUGAAAGACGGUUUUGCUGUCACUUAUAGAUGGAUCCGCGCCGCAUUAGCUAGUUGGUAAGGUAACGGCUUACCAAGGCGACGAUGCGUAGCCGACCUGAGAGGGUGAUCGGCCACACUGGAACUGAGACACGGUCCAGACUCCUACGGGAGGCAGCAGUAGGGAAUCUUCCGCAAUGGGCGAAAGCUUGACGGAGCAACGCCGCGUGAGUGAUGAAGGUCUUCGGAUCGUAAAACUCUGCUAUUAGGGAAGAACAAAUGUGUAAGUAACUAUGCACGUCUUGACGGUACCUAAUCAGAAAGCCACGGCUAACUACGUG
rnacentral:rRNA from 1 species